rnacentral:lncRNA from 1 species
CUCGCGCCCCCUUCCCCGCCCCGCGUUGGCCUCCAACAGGAAGUCGUCCCGGCCCCUGCCACGUGACCCCGCCGCAUCUGCAUACCGGAGGGCGAGCCGGCCAAUCGGCGCCCUGCACCCGAGCUCCGCCCCCGCGCGCCCCUCCCCGGCCCAUUGGUUCGUCCCGGGCAGGCCACGCCCCGUCCUUCCCCCUUAAUACCCGCUCGCGUUGUGGUUCCGCAGACUGCGCGGGGAGCGCGCCGGGGUGCGAGCGGGCGGGCGCGCGCGCUCCCCCGGCCCGGGCGCGUGCAGGUCUCGGGGGCUCGGGCGACCUCCUUGCCGGUCCGUGGGCGCUGCAGCUCGGUGGAAGCGCGCUGGGCCGCGGGGCGCAACGUCCGCCCGGUUCGCUCCGCGCGCGCCCUGCGGCGCCUGGGCCCCGGGGUCGCGCGGCGUUUUGGCCCCGCGGCGCCAGCCCUCCGUGCAGCCCCGACCGGCGCCCGCCCCGACGCGCGUCCAGCCCGUGCCGUGCACACGCCCUGCACCUCCCCACCGUGCACACACUCGCACACGCGCCGACCCGGGCCCGGGAGCAUCCUGCCAGCCGCGCGCCUCCCAGCCUCCCCUUGCACGCAGCGGCUCCCGGGGGAGCGCCCUGCUGCGAACCAAACAAACCUCCCUACGCAACGGCUCCCCCGCCCCCGAGAGCGAACCGCCCUCCCCCACCACGCGGGCCCCGGGCCCGGGGGCGGGAGGGACCCAGACGCUCCGGCGCUCGGUACCCAGUGCUGGUCCGCCAUCCCGCCGCUGCUCGUCGGUGCACAGUCGUCAUGAGCCGUAGGGAGAGACUUGUGUGUGUUAAUAUGCUGCAAAGAAAGAGCCAGUAAAGAGGACACAGCAAAGAGGAAGAUGUUUGCUUGUUUGUUUGGAAGGGGUUGAGCAUGAAGUAAGGCAAGAGAAGGGCCUGGGGCAGAUGGGAGACUGGGGGGGUGGUUUGACAGGGGCAGGAGGACUUCUUUUACUAAGACUAGAGGCCCCUGCUUCCAAGCCCACAUGAGUGCAUGUUGGGGGUGG